UCUAUUUAAAAAUGUAAAUCCAAUCAUUUCAGUCUCCUUAUUAGUGCUUUCCAAAAACUUCCUGUCAUAUUCGGGGCAAAGGCGAAGGUAUUUUCAAUGACCUGCAAGACCGUACAUGGACAAGCCCUGGCCUAGUGUCCUACUACUUGCCCCGGCCCACUUGGCUUCAGCUCACAAUGGAUUUCUUAUUGCCUUACACAGGUCAAGGUUUGGUUGUAUGUAGAUCUUCACAGUGCUGUUCUCAUGGCCUGGGUUACCCUUUUCCAAAGCCUUUUCAUGUCUAUCUCCUUCACAUCAUUCUGUUUGCUUCUCAUAUAUUCACUUAUUGAAAGGUUUUUCCUCUAUAACUUUGUUUCCUUCUACCCUGCUGAAAUUAUAUGAUUCUUAAAAAAUAUUAUAUAUUGCCACUGGCCAUUUUAUGAUUUAUUUAUUAAAUAAGAGUGACACUGAAUUUAUCUUUUUCAUAUCUUAUAUUGGCAGCACCUGGGACAAAAUUAACACUUAAUGAGAGUUUGUUGAAUGAACAAAUGAAUCUGUUAACACUGUUGUUUUGUAAUUUUUAAUGCAUGAAAUUGGGGAAAUUAGCUUCCAUGUCAUGAGAACAAGCAGCCCUGUGGAGAGGUCCAUGUGGUGAGGAGCUGAGUCCUCCUGCCAAUAGCCGUGUGAAUGAGCCGUCUUGGAAAUGGAUCUCUCAGCCCCAGUGGAGCCUUGAGAUGACUACAGCCAUGGUCUAGGCCUUGACUGCAACUGCCUAAGAGACGCUGAGCCAGAACCAUUCAGGUAUGCCACUUCCAUCCUGACUCUCAGAAAAUGGGUGAGGUAAUAAAUGUUUAUUUUUCUGAGUUGUUAACAUUUGGGAUAAUUUGUUAUGCACUAAUAGUAAAUGAAUACACUCUUUCAUGGCAUUUUUCCUGAACUAUAUGUUGUACAAUGUAAAUAAAAAACUUUCCUAAUUGUCUUGCCAAUUGGUUUCAGCCCUGGAAAAGUUAGCUAUGGAUUCAAUGUGACCAAAGAAAUUGACAACAAAACGUUCUUUGGGGUGAAAGGGUUUAUUACCCGGCUUGUUCUCCUGGUAGUAGGUCAAGCACUAGCGUCUCUGCCUCCGCCCACAGCACUGGGCUGAGCUCUCUAUAUAGCACAACAGUAGCUUAUUGUCUAAAGGUGUGAAAGCGGUAGCCUAGCAACAGGCCAGUUACAUCAUCAGGGGGUUUAAGGUCAGUGAGGAUCCUGGCCAUAGGAACCCCAACUUCCCCACACUAAUGUUUUUGAGAAUGUUACUUUUUUUUUAAGCAACAGGGAGAAUAGGAAUGGUCCAGCAUGGCUUAUGCUUACUACUUAGAGAAGGGAAAAGGGAGAAAUCACAUACCUUGAAAAUUCCUUUUUAGAGACAAACUAUUCACAGGAAAGUGACUAAUGGGGAAUGAAAGAGUGAGGGGAAAAAAUGGCUUUUAUCCCCAGUCUUUCCUAUUAAUUGACAUCAUUUAUGUUUACAGUUCACAAUCAGAUCAUAUAAUUAGGGAAGGAUUAAGCUCUUAUCUCUUGGAGUGGAUGGUUAAUUUAGGUGUUUGGAAACUGCUUGAAGAAAGCCAUGGAACAGCUCUGAGGGACGGAGUCUAGAUACCAUGUAAAAAGUGAAUAAAUGUACCAAGAGCAGAAUGAUAACUCCACCUCAGUACCAGAUUGUCUAGAAAUUAAAUUGUGGCAGAAAAUAUUUGUUAUUUCUGAGUUUGUGUGAGCCUAUAAUGCUGCCUUUCAUAGCUGAAGUGUGUGAAUGUUUUACCAUUCUUUGUCAGGACAUCGUAAUUUAUUCAAAUAAAAUGAUUCGAGUUAACAUGACUGAAUUAUUUAGGUUGUUUCUUGCUUAGAUGUUCUCAUCCUCUUUGUAUUUGUUAUUGAUCAUCUAUGUGUGUACCAUCCACCAGGUUCCUAACCAUUUCCCUCUUGGCAUGUAGAGUGCUUGAAAUUUUUACUCGGAAAGAAGUAACAGCGAUAGGCUACCAGCCCCGAAACACACUCAGUUGUCCUCAGCAUCACUGAAUGGAACAUGAGAACACUGUACCUCAUCCUCCAUUAGAUGAAUGGAUAAAGAAGAUGUGGUACAUAUACACAAUGGAAUAUUACUCAGCCAUAAGAAAAAAACAGAUCCUACCAUUUGCAAC